rnacentral:rRNA from 1 species
CGAGUCAUUGUAGUAAUACAAGGCAGACGGCUCAGUAACGCGUACUCUCCUAACCUAUGGACGGGAAUAACCUCGGGAAACUGAGCAUAAUGCCCGAUAGAACAUUAUGCCUGGAAUGGUUUAUGUUCCAAAUGAUUUAUCGCCGUAGGAUGGGACUGCGGCCUAUCAGUUUGUUGGUGAGGUAAUGGCCCACCAAGACUAUUACAGGUACGGGCUCUGAGAGGAGUAGCCCGGAGAUGGGUACUGAGACACGGACCCAGGCCCUAUGGGGCGCAGCAGGCGAGAAAACUUUGCAAUGUGCGAAAGCACGACAAGGUUAAUCCGAGUGGUUUCUGCUAAAGGAACCUUUUGUCGGUCCUAGAAACACCGAUGAAUAAGGGGUGGGCUAGUUCUGGUGUCAGCCGCCGCGGUAAAACCAGCACCUCAAGUGGUCAGGAUGAUUAUUGGGCCUAA